CGCGGGAUGGAGCAGUCUGGUAGCUCGUCGGGCUCAUAACCCGAAGGUCGUUGGUUCAAAUCCGGCUCCCGCGCACA
rnacentral:tRNA from 1 species